GAUAACCUCUGCCACAUCCCCACAGGGGUGAACUUGUGUUUCAGUGAUGUCAGCUUUGCAACGAGUUCCUAGAGGCAGCUUUCUGCAAAAGUACUUCAGCUUUGGGCAUCCGAGCGGACGCGGAGGGAUCUUCUACAUACAUUAGCUAAAAAAGCCUUUUGGGAACUCACAAAGCGUCGAGAGAGAUGCAGGGGAGAGAAAGCCCCGACUGCUUGAGGACUGAGGUAUUCCACUACUUAGCAGCAAACUUCUUUUUAAUGAAAUACCAUCUGACAAACUGCCUUUAGGAAUUGUUUAUGAGAAGAAGAAAAGAAGAUUGAAAUACCAGUCAUCUGUAGCAAAGGGACUGAUGCUACUGUCUCUACCCUCCUGCUCCUGUGCUGAGUGCCUUUUGAAGUCCAAGAACAAGCAGGACUUGGAAGACCAUUCAGAUUAAUCUCCAUCUUCUCCACUUCAUCAUUUCCUUCUUAUGCAGAUCCCACUGAACUCAUCUGGCAUCAAGGAGUUUGGAAGAAAAAGAAACCACUUGUGUGUAUGGUGACAUGGGGAUCAGCAAGCAGUACUGCAUCUGCUACAGCCCCACGGCUUCUUUCACCUGCUGUAACUAUUGGGUUGGAGGGCAACACCAUCCGCCUUCGAGCUGACCCCUGAGUUUUGAACACCAUAUGGUGUUCAAAGAAGCAGAAGAAGCAGAAGAGGAAAGUGAUUUUCUCUCGUGUAAAUUAGUGGUGUGGAGAUGGGGAAAAUCUAGCCUUGCAGUUUUGAGACGUUUAUAAACAAACAAUAAUGAAAGAAUGAAAGCCAGAGAAGAGAAAAAAUAAUCUAUGAGGCAAACAACAUUGUCGGUGAUAGGUAUUUGUUUUUCCAUUCAUAAUGCCUGAAGUACUUGUAAUAUACAAUAUCCUGCAAACUGUUCUUGUUUUGCUUUUCCCAAAAGCAUGCCAGACUCGGGACAAAGCUCUGUGAAGAAAUAUUGUACUGUAUUUGUUUUUAAAAAUGCCAUUGAUUGGAGAACAGAAAC
ensembl:lncRNA